GGCGCCCGCAGGCUUUGACUUGAACUAAACGCAGAGCUGAGAACUUAACACGAGGUCAAUUGAUAAAUGUUUAUUGCGCGCAUACCUUCUAAUAUGCGGUGGCUAGCAAAUUUUAAAGACAGGCCAUUGAGACAGGCGCAUGUAAGCAAGAUUUUUUUUUUCUGCGUGGGUGACUUAUGCAAGCCAAAGCAAUCCACCUUGUAGCGACUUGCCAUCCUGAGACCGCAGGUACAGUCUGUGCAGUGUCCCGCGAGGCCCGCAACCUGCAGCGGUGGAGUGUCUUUCGUAGACCAUCGUGAGUUUUUACGUUUCGAAGACAGAGUGCCGCCAGCACAAAGGAAUGGACAAGGCAGAUCGCGUUGGCUGUAGGCACUGCAGUGCAUGCUGGUGCGUGGAAAUGCUGCAGCCAACCUGACACAACAGCGGCUUCCCCGUGUUUGUGCACAGAGGACAGAACCUAUGACUUGGCCCAAGGGUUCUUCAUCAAUCUACCACUGACGAUGUCAACUACAAGCGCGCGGUUCUUCCCACCUUCCUUCUGCAAUGUGGAAUACUUUGAUCGACUGACUUUGGAGGAGCACAGCACAGCAAACUGGCGUGUUUAACCACUGUCACCACUCUGGUUAGAUCAGUUUUCCUGUAUAUUAAGGUCUGACUGCCGCUUUGGUCACAUACUCCGCCGCUGCUGGGAACUGAGGGCCAUGGAUUAAUUGCAGGAAUCAUGAGGGAGGGAGUGGCCGAAUACCGCACCAGGAAGGCCAAUUCCUGUUCUGAUCAGUAUCCCUGCAUAAAGAAAGCGAAAAAAAAAGAAAACGGCGCUUCUCACCACGAGGAAUGUAAUGCGUUCGGACGCUUACGUGGUCGGAUUAUAUAGCAGCUGAAACAAGUGCUCCAGAGGCGAAGCAUCUACAAGACAAGACAACAUGGCUUUCCGUGCCGUAGCAUCUGGCCUUCCAGCAGUACAAGCAUGCUGCUUUAAGACUGGUACAUUUUCCUCUGUUAUAGGCUGCCUUCUAGCCUGUACUAAAGCGACAUAAUAAACGCCAUUAACUCAC